UUUAAAUUAGUUUAAUUAAAAACAUCUUAUUGUGGGUAAGAAAAUAGUAUUUUUAAUAUUUUUUUUCAUA
rnacentral:tRNA from 1 species